rnacentral:lncRNA from 1 species
GCCCUUCCCAACUCAUCAUGGUGCUGCAACCUUCUUUGCAAGCUCGCUGCCAAUCAUUCUUCACAAGAACUCGAUCUACCAUUACUUGUAUGCCUUCUUAACCUCUACUAGGACCACUCUAAGAACCCUUUUCUAAAGUAUCAAACCACACUCAUAUCAGAUUUCAUGUUCAACACAUGAGCAAUCUGAUUUUAGGACAAGUAUCUCAUACUUUCUUUUUUUCUUCCUCUCUUCCUUUCUAUUUUUCUCACCC